CACCGCGGUUAUACGAGAGACCCAAGUUGAUAAACACCGGCGUAAAGCGUGGUUAUAUUAAUAUUUACACUAAAGCCAAACAUCUUCAAAGCUGUUAUACGCAACCGAAGACAGGAAGUUCACCCACGAAAGUGGCUUUAUUAGACCCGAACCCACGAAAGCUAAGGAA
rnacentral:rRNA from 1 species